rnacentral:rRNA from 1 species
AUACGGAGGGUGCAAGCGUUAUCCGGAUUUAUUGGGUUUAAAGGGUGCGUAGGCGGUUUGAUAAGGCAGCGGUGAAAUAUUUCAGCUUGACUGGAAGGGUGCCGUUGAUACUGUCGAGCUUGAAUUUAGUUGCUGUGGGUGGAAUGUGUGGUGUAGCGGGGAAAUGCAUAGAUAUCACACCGAAUAUCGAUUGCGAAGGCAGCUCACAAAGCUAAUAUUGACGCUGAUGCACGAAAGUGUGGGGAUCAAACAGGAUUAGAUACCCUGGUAGUCCACACUGUAAACGAUGAUAACUCGCUGUCGGCGAUACAUAGUCGGUGGCCAAGCGAAAGCGAUAAGUUAUCCACCUGGGGAGUACGACCGCAAGGUUGAAACUCAAAGGAAUUGACGGGG